rnacentral:rRNA from 1 species
GAUGAACGCUGGCGGCGUGCCUAAUACAUGCAAGUCGAGCGAAUGGAUUAAGAGCUUGCUCUUAUGAAGUUAGCGGCGGACGGGUGAGUAACACGUGGGUAACCUGCCCAUAAGACUGGGAUAACUCCGGGAAACCGGGGCUAAUACCGGAUAAUAUUUUGAACUGCAUGAUUCGAAAUUGAAAGGCGGCUUCGGCUGUCACUUAUGGAUGGACCCGCGUCGCAUUAGCUAGUUGGUGAGGUAACGGCUCACCAAGGCAACGAUGCGUAGCCGACCUGAGAGGGUGAUCGGCCACACUGGGACUGAGACACGGCCCAGACUCCUACGGGAGGCAGCAGUAGGGAAUCUUCCGCAAUGGACGAAAGUCUGACGGAGCAACGCCGCGUGAGUGAUGAAGGCUUUCGGGUCGUAAAACUCUGUUGUUAGGGAAGAACAAGUGCUAGUUGAAUAAGCUGGCACCUUGACGGUACCUAACCAGAAAGCCACGGCUAACUACGUGCCAGCAGCCGCGGUAAUACGUAGGUGGCAAGCGUUAUCCGGAAUUAUUGGGCGCAAAGCGCGCGCAGGUGGUUUCUUAAGUCUGAUGUGAAAGCCCACGGCUCAACCGUGGAGGGUCAUUGGAAACUGGGAGACUUGAGUGCAGAAGAGGAAAGUGGAAUUCCAUGUGUAGCGGUGAAAUGCGUAGAGAUAUGGAGGAACACCAGUGGCGAAGGCGACUUUCUGGUCUGUAACUGACACUGAGGCGCGAAAGCGUGGGGAGCAAACAGG